rnacentral:lncRNA from 1 species
UGGGGGUACCAAUGUGGGGUCCAGACAUCAUUCCUUUUUCCCAUUGGCCUUGUCUAGCCACCUGUAUCAGGCCUUAUCCAAUAGGGGUCUUAGUGAUGGUAUGCCCCAUAAAUUUUAUGGCUACUUUGUUCUUCUUCCCCCGAGACUGGGAGUCACCAUUCCUCUCCUUUCUUCCCUAUCAGUCCAAGGGGUGGGUUAGAGAUUAACAUCCACCUAGACGUAAAGCAAAUGUACUUUCUAUAGAAAACAGGAUCUGAGAAUGUUUGUUAUUUCCUGGAACCUCCCAAAUCAUAGAUAUUAAUCAACAACUAUAUCAAAGAAUACAUCAAGGGAGUUCCCGUUGUGGCACAGCAAACAAAUCCGACUAGUAACCAUGAGGUUGCAGGUUUGAUCCCUGGCCUCAAUCAGUGGGUUAAAGACCUGGCAUUCCCCGUGAGCUGUGGGGUUGCAGACACAGCUCGGAUCUGGCAUUGCUAUGGCUGUGGUGUAGGCCACCAGUUAUAAGUCCAAUUAGUUCCCUAGCCUGGGAACCUCCAUAUGCCACUAGUGCAGCCCUAAAAAGCAGAAAAAAAAAAAGAAAAGAAAAGAAGAAUACAUCGAAGCCCAUGUUUCUACACUAAUGACCUAAAUCAUCACUCAUUACUCUGCUUCACUGUCACACACUGAUGAUUGAAAUGAAGAAAAUGAGUGUAAUGCGAUAGAGAUAGCAUGUACAGAGAUGGCCUCUAGCUGAGACUUGAAUGGUGUUAGAAACCAGCCGUAUAAAGAUCUGGAGGAAAAGCAUUUCAGGAAGAUUGGAACAGCAACAGUGAAAACUCUGAGGCUAAAAUGAGCUAGGCAUGUGAUUAUGAAAUAAGGUUAGAAAAUAAGGAGACAUAUGCUGGAAUUGUGAUCAGAAAAGGAGUCAGAAACCAGAGUAUGCAGGUGUCAGGGUGAGAAGUUUAGAUUUUAUAUUCUAGUUGUGAUGGGCACCUACUGGAGGUUUAUGUAGUAGGAUCUGAUUUCACAUUUGAAGGAAUCAUUGUAGUUGCUCUUUGGAGAGAAUGAAGUGUAGGGGAGCAAGAAGAGAAGUAAUCCCAACUAAUAGUUAAGAUAAUGUCUGAAACUAAAGAUGGAAAAUAAUCUCAUGACAGUACUGAUUUAUGAUUUUUAUUUUUUUAUUUCCCCAAUACAUUAUUUUUUUUUUACUACUGUACAACAUGGUGACCCAGUUACACAUACAUGUAUAUUUUCUUUUUUCUCACAUUAUCAUGCUCCAUCAUAAGUGACUAGGCAUAGUUCUCAAUGCUGCACAGCAGGAUCUCAUUGCUAAUCCAUUCCAAAGGCUACAUCUGUUAACCCCAAGCUCCCAAUCCAUCCCACAUCCUCCCCAACCCUUUGGCAACCACAGUCUAUUCUCCAAGUCCAUGAUUUUCUUUUCUGUGGAAAGGUUCAUUAGUGAUGUGUAUUAGAUUCCAGAUAUAAGUGAUAUCAUAUGGUAGUUGCCUUUCUCUUUCUGACUUACUUCACUCAGGAUGAGAGUCUCUAGUUCCAUCCAUGUUACUGCAAAUGGCAUUAUUUUGUUCUUUUUAUGGCUGAGUAGUAUUCCAUUGUGUAUACAUACCACAUCUUCCUAAUCCAGUCAUCUGUUGAUGGAAUUUGGGUUGUUUCCAUGUCUUGGCUAUUGUGAAUCGUACUGAAAUGAAUAUGGGGGUGCCUAUGUCUUUUUCAAGGAAAGUUUUGUCUGGAUAUAUGCCCAAGAGUUGGAUUGCUGGUCAUAUGGCAAUUCUGUGUAUAGAUUUCUAAGGUAGCUCCAUACUGUUCUCCAUAGUGGUUGUACCAGCUUACAUCCCCAUGAACAGUGCAGAAGGGUUCCCUUUUCUCCACACCCUCUCCAACAUUUGUUAUUUGUGGCCUUAUUAAUGAUGGCCAUUCUGACUGGUGUGAGAUGGUAUCUCAUGGUAGUUUUGAUUUGCAUUUCUAUAAUAAUCAGGGGUGUUGAGCAUUUUUUCAUGUGCUUGUUGGCCAUCUGUAUAUCUUCCUUGGAGAAAUGUCUAUUCAGAUCUUUUGCCCAUUUUUCCAUUGGGUUGUUGGCUUUUUUCUGUUGAGUUGUGUAAGUUGUUUGUAUAUUUUAGAGAUUAAGCCCUUGUCAGUUGCAUCAUUUGAAACUAUUUUUUCCCAUUCUGUAAGGUGUCUUUUUCUUUUCUUUUUGUUUUCCUUUGCUGUGCAAAAGCUUGUCAGAUCAAUUAGGUCCCAUUGGUUUAUUUUUGCUUUCAUUGCCGUGAGCUGUGGUGUAGGUCACAGAUGCAGCUCAGAUCUGGCAUUGCUUUGGCUCUGGAGUAGGCCGGCAGCAACAGCUCCUAUUAGACCCCUAACCUGAGAACCUCCAUAUGCCACAGGUGCAGCCCUAAGUAGACCAAAAAAAUUUUUUUUCAGUCUUUUAAAGGAUUACUUUGGCCUAAAAAUGUUCUUUCUGAAAAGAAGAAGAAAAGGAAAUGUGAACACAGUUCAACAAUGUUUGCAAAUGAAGCAUAGUUAUUUGGUGGUGGUGGUGGGGGGGGGUUGUUAAAGUAACUGAGGAAGUCACCAGCAACAGGGCAUCUGAAUAGAUGAGGGGGUGAUUGAGAGUUUGGGCUCAUUUUACUCAGAUUCAUCCCAAGUCUGCUUUCUCUCCUGAAACCUGCCUCAGAUCAUAUGUCAUCUGAACUCUUCUUCUGCCCCUUUCAGAUCCGAGUUUAAAUGCCCUGCUUCUUCACCACCAUCUACCCAUUAGAAUAGUCUACAGAGAAGAUACUACAGUGACUGGGGGCAAAUACAAUGUAAUUUGAAUGAACAUCAGAAAAGAAAGAAAUUCUGUCAUGUUCACAGGUGUUUCCCAAUAGAAUUAAAAAAUGAAAUCCAAUGCUAUGUAUAUUUUACCACAAUAAAA